rnacentral:rRNA from 1 species
UACAGAGGGUGCAAGCGUUAAUCGGAAUUACUGGGCGUAAAGCGCGCGUAGGUGGUUUGUUAAGUUGGAUGUGAAAGCCCCGGGCUCAACCUGGGAACUGCAUUCAAAACUGACAAGCUAGAGUAUGGUAGAGGGUGGUGGAAUUUCCUGUGUAGCGGUGAAGUGCGUAGAUAUAGGAAGGAACACCAGUGGCGAAGGCGACCACCUGGACUGAUACUGACACUGAGGUGCGAAAGCGUGGGGAGCAAACAGG